rnacentral:rRNA from 1 species
AUUGAACGCUAGCGGGAUGCCUUACACAUGCAAGUCGAACGGAGUGGCGAACGGGCGGGUAAUGUAUCGGAACGUGCCCAGUAGCGGGGGAUAACUACGCGAAAGCGUAGCUAACUCCGCAUACUUUCGGUGCGGCCGACAUCGGUUUAGCUAGUUGGUGGGGUAACGGCGCACCAAGGCGACGAUCCGUAGCUGGCUUGAGAGGACGACCAGCCACACUGGGACUGAGACACGGCCCAGACUCCUACGGGAGGCAGCAGUGGGGAAUUUUGGACAAUGGGGGAAAGCCUGAUCCAGCCAUGCCGCGUGUGCGAUGAAGGCCUUCGGGUUGUAAAGCACUUUUGGCAGGAAAGCGGUACCUGCAGAAGAAGCACCGGCUAACUACGUGCCAGCAGCCGCGGUAAUAC